rnacentral:lncRNA from 1 species
AAGGUUAUGACCCGUGUAAGACACUAAACUGCAUUACAUACACAAAAAAUACGUUUACAUGCUACUUGUAUUAUUCGGAUGAAUCACAUAAGGUGCGCCAUCUGUUAGCAGACAGCUAAAUCGAAGAGUGGAUUAGUUUACAACGCACGAUCGAACACAGAAGAGGUAAGUACACAUCUACCUACACACGGCUAAUGUAAUAAAAAUACCUUAGAAACGUGUUUACCUAAAAGUUUUAAAUACAUAAAUGUACUAUCUAUUUGAUUUUUUACAGAAUCAGCAGUAUGUCUUAUAGUAUAAAUCGCAUCGUAAGUAUACAAUUAAUCGUAUUAGCGUAGACUAUAGUUAUCAUCUUAGUCGGUGUGGGGUAUUGGCAUCUAAACAAAAUGUAUAUUUAUAAAUACAGCCUUAGGUUUAAUUAUUCUAAUAUUAGAAUCAAGUUUGACCACCGGUCAAGUAAAUGUUAAUAGCGUUUACGUGUAUCAUCUUUUUUUGCUUGUUAAUAUAACUAGGCUUAUUCGUGUAGUACAACUUUGGUUGAAAAAAAAAGUAUAUUUCUUCUUCGUUGUGAAUAGGUAGUUUUAAACUUGCACUGUGAAUUCAUUUCUCGUUCAAUUUUUAUUUCAUGAUUAUCUUUUUAUUUAUGAAAGCAUGUAUCCAGAGGCGGAUUUAAGGGGGGGGGCAGGGGGCCCGGGCCCUCCUUUUUGGGAAAAAAUUUGGUUGCUUAUAUAGGGAAUCACUGAAGCGUGACUGACAACUAACAAAUAAAAAAAUAAAUGUCAAGUUACUGUACAAAACACUAAUAUGCAUGAUAAAUAAACCAGGGGCCUAUAUUUCCAUGAUCAACUUAUAUAGACAAUAAUAGUGCAUUGACUUGAUAUAUCAACGAUAUAAGGAUGAGGCUUGGAAACGGGGAAAUGCGAGGCUGUGCCGCGCUAUUUUCAUGUUUCGGGCCGAGUCCUUAUACUCGUUAAUAUCUCAAGUCAAUGCACUAUUAUUGUCUGUCGGUUCAAACAUAUAAUAAUCUAAUAUAAUUAGGAAACCAGAUUACAGCUGACAGAAUAUUGAUGCAUGUCGUGUCCUAGCUGGCUCAAAAUACAACUUCGCUCUUUUAUUUCUAAUUUUUCAUUUGUAGAUAACCCCAUCAACAUUGCAAAUCCCUGGGGGUUUACGUCCUGGAAAACAGAUCCUGCUUCGUGGUAGAGUUACUCAUAAUCAUGAUUAGUAAGUGAAUCAAUUUUAAGAAAAUAGAGGAAGUUUAGUAAGAGUAAAAUGUGAUGCAGGACAUACGUCAAUGAGAUAACAACUACGGCACAAAAAUAAAAAAAAAUCAAGUAGCAGACAUUCGGUUUUGGACAAUAAACAAGCGUCUAUAACAUAUAUAAGUCCAGAAAGUUGUAGGUAACAUAGUACUGAACCCCAGUUUAUUCAUGGUAUAUAAAUUAAAGCAAAUCCUUAUCCUUCCUUUUUUGUAGGUUUCAUGAUGAGUAGUAUUAGUUUUCUGUGUAACAUGUUUUGUUGUUUGUCUUUACGUCGUUUUCCUUUUAGUCAUGGUGUUGUCUGGUUUUAUCGGACUAAAGUUUUUUUCCCUUGAUACCCUUUUUUCUCUUUCAUGAUGAAAAGUGCGUUAUCGUGAUCGGAAGACCACACAAAGGACAGUUGCAUUGACAAUGUUAAACUGUUUAUAAAAGUUUAAUUAUUUAUCACGACAAUGCCUUUAUCAUACAAGUUACUACCGCGUUUAUUUUAUUGACGAAACCAAGAAUCUUACACAAAAUUCAAAGUGUGUGCUGAAA